AAGAGGCUUCCCGUCCAGAGUCACCUCCUCCAGCUCCGCCAUCUUGCGUGAGGUACUCGGGUCCGUCCCGACGGCUUCGGGCAUCUUCGCAGGGAGAGGAGCUCAAGAAUCUACAUCGUUAAGCACACUAAGUAACUCUGAUGGUGGUGGUCUUGGAAUGGUCAUGGCAGGCUGCAGAUCUCCAGAUCCCUGAGACUGAGAGGCAACUCUCUCCUUUGUAUCCUGGGUUCAAGAGGCUGCACCUAUAAGAAUGAAGAUCUGUAGACAUCGGCUUGCAGCAACCCUGAGGACUAGUGGCGGCAGCAGCAGCAGCAGCAGCAGCAGCAGCAGCAUCUCCCUUCUGUGUCUCUCCGUAGAUACAGCCUGGAUCCUGUCUUCCGUCCCCUUGUUCCCUGGCUCACUGUUUCUGGCUUUCCUCUCUUUACUAUUUUUCACCUAUGCCCCCCACUACUCUUGCUUAUUUUUUCAAGAUUUGAAUGUUGUUGACUCAGUCUACAGUUCCCUGCCAGGAGGUUGGAUAUGAACCACCCUCUUCCAGAGGUGCCAGAGGCAGAGUGCUGGGGGAGGGGAAGUGUUAUUCUGAGGCCUCAGCUGACCUUUCCAAAGAGGAGCCUGCCUUAUCCAUGAUGAAACUCUUUCCUUGUUUUUUGUUUGUUUGUUUUGUAGAGAUGGAGCCUCUCUAUGUUGUCGAGGCUGGUCUCAAACUCCUGGCCUCAAGUGAUCCUCCUGCUUCAGCCUCCCCAAGUGCUGAGAUUACAGGUGUGAGCCACUGUGUGUGGCUGGGAACUCUUUCCUAAUCCUUUCCAUCCCUCAUCCUAUUUCUUGUGCCUUUCUGAGUAGAAAACCUUGGAACCUUCACCGAACUAGAAAACUGGUGUCACCAUAAUAGGGGAAGUGGGGGACAGAGGUAUUCUUUGCUUUGUAGUUGCCUGCUGGCCUCACUGGACAUGGCCAAACAAGGCUUCUGCACUUCACUAGCCCCGGUUUCAGAACUGGGUGGCCUCUAACUAAACUACAAGACUUCUAGGAUCUCCUACAUCUAUGUAGGGCUCUUAGUGGGUGCUCAACAAAUACAUGUUAGUUGACUGACACCUCCUGUAAGAGGCCGUUGUGUUAGGUCUGUUAGGUUUCACAGAUGCUGCUUAUAGGCAUGCAGAGGAGGGAAAAUAAACUUUUUUUUUUUUUUUUUUUUGUCUUUUUGAGUUUCGCUCUUCUCA
rnacentral:lncRNA from 1 species